rnacentral:rRNA from 1 species
UACGAAGGGGGCUAGCGUUGCUCGGAAUCACUGGGCGUAAAGGGUGCGUAGGCGGGUCUUUUAAGUCAGGGGUGAAAUCCUGGAGCUCAACUCCAGAACUGCCUUUGAUACUGAGGAUCUUGAGUUCGGGAGAGGUGAGUGGAACUGCGAGUGUAGAGGUGAAAUUCGUAGAUAUUCGGAAGAACACCAGUAGCGAAGGCGGCACUCUGGGCCGGUACUGACGCUGAGGAGCGAAAGCGUGGGGAGCAAACAGG